rnacentral:rRNA from 1 species
AUUGAACGCUGGCGGCAGGCCUAACACAUGCAAGUCGAGCGAGAGGCGGACGGAUUACUAAUGUAUGUGCCUCUUCCUGAUGGAGGGGGAUCACUAAUGGAAACUGUUGCUAAUACCGUAUACUUUCGGCUGAGCCCAGAUGGGAUUAGCUUGUUGGUGGGGUAAAGGCUCACCAAGGCGACGAUCUCUAGCUGGUCUGAGAGGAUGAUCAGCCACACUGGAACUGAGACACGGUCCAGACUCCUACGGGAGGCAGCAGUGGGGAAUAUUGCACAAUGGGCGAAAGCCUGAUGCAGCCAUGCCGCGUGUAUGAAGAAGGCCUUAGGGUUGUAAAGUACUUUCAGCGGGGAGGCGUUACCCGCAGAAGAAGCACCGGCUAACUCCGUGCCAGCAGCCGCGGUAAUAC